rnacentral:rRNA from 1 species
UGACCGCUGGCGGCGUGCCUAACACAUGCAAGUCGAACGGAGUCCAGCCUUUAAGACCUUCGGGUCAAAGAGGGGAAGACUGAGUGGCGGACGGGUGAGUAACACGUGGGCAACCUGGCUCAUAGAGGGGGAUAACAGAGAGAAAUUUCUGCUAAUACCGCAUAAGCACACACUGCCGCAUGGCAGAGGGUGAAAAGAGAAUCGCUAUGAGAUGGACCCGCGUCUGAUUAGCCAGUUGGCAGGGUAAGAGCCUACCAAAGCGACGAUCAGUAGCCGAUCUGAGAGGAUGAACGGCCACAUUGGGACUGAGACACGGCCCAAACUCCUACGGGAGGCAGCAGUGGGGGAUAUUGCACAAUGGGGGGAACCCUGAUGCAGCGACGCCGCGUGAGUGAAGAAGUAUUUCGGUAUGUAAAGCUCUAUCAGCAGGGAAGAUAAUGACAGUACCUGAAGAAGAAGCCCCGGCUAACUACGUG